UGUUGGGAGCCUGUUGCUCCCGCUAAGUCUCCGCCGGGUGGGCGAUAGAAAACCGGCGAGAACUGCUGCGAGCGGUCGCUUUCCCCAGCCGCUGUCUGUUUGCAGCGCUCGGGGAGCCUUUGCCGUCAAAGCGCUCGGAUGUGGGCGGAUCUCCUUGCUUCGAUUCUCCGAUGCCAGCUUCUGCCCGGCUGUCCUCCCGCGACGCCUGCCUGCCUUCGUCACCUGAAGUUUUAGCUCUUCUCUUCCACGGGGGGGGGGGGGUGAGCCCCAGCGUGCACCUUUUUGGUUGCCUUGUGGUCUCGCCGGGCGAAUCUGCAACUUCAGCGCGAGACAGAAAGCCUGUCCUACUCAGGCAGAGAGGGCCUGCUUCAGAUCCUGUUGGUCAAAGAACCCCCAUCUAUCAGGAUCCAGAAGAAGAUCUCUGCUGCAGCACCCACAUUUUGGAACUCCUUAUCUUGUAAGGAAGCUGAUGAGUUAACUCCUUCGGAAGCCUACCAGCUGCUAUUGCUGUCACACUGCAAGAAUGAGGAAAGUUACACCACAUUGUUGAAUCAUCACUUGUAAUCAACUACUAUUCCCAGAUCUUUUUCACAAGUACUACUGCCAAGCCAGUUCCUUUGGUUCCCUGUCCAUGGGGUUCAGGACUUCAGAAAAAUUCCUGAUGUUCUCUUUGAAAGCG